AUUGAACGCUGGCGGCAUGCCUUACACAUGCAAGUCGAACGGUAACGGGCCUUCGGGUGCCGACGAGUGGCGAACGGGUGAGUAAUGUAUCGGAACGUACCUUUCAGUGGGGGAUAACGUAGCGAAAGUUACGCUAAUACCGCAGAUUCGGUGAGCAGGAAAGCAGGGGAUCGCAAGGCCUUGCGCUGAUUGAGCGGCCGAUAUCAGAUUAGCUAGUUGGUGGGGUAAAGGCUCACCAAGGCGACGAUCGGUAGCGGGUCUGAGAGGAUGAUCCGCCACACUGGAACUGAGACACGGUCCAGACUCCUACGGGAGGCAGCAGUGGGGAAUUUUGGACAAUGGGGGCAACCCUGAUCCAGCCAUGCCGCGUGAGUGAAGAAGGCCUUCGGGUUGUAAAGCUCUUUCGGCCGGGAAGAAAUCGUAUCAGCUAAUACCUGGUGCGGAUGACGGUACCGGCAUAAGAAGCACCGGCUAACUACGUGCCAGCAGCCGCAGUAACAC
rnacentral:rRNA from 1 species